rnacentral:rRNA from 1 species
GAGGAUGAUACCCUGGUAGUCCACGCCGUAAACGAUGUCUACUAGUUGUCGGUGGUCUUGUACUGCUGGUAACGCAGCUAACGCGAUAAGUAGACCGCCUGGGGAGUACGGCCGCAAGGUUAAAACUCAAAUGAAUUGACGGGGGCCCGCACAAGCGGUGGAGCAUGUGGUUUAAUUCGAAGCAACGCGAAGAACCUUACCUGGCCUUGACAUCCUGCGAAUCUCUUGGAGACAAGAGAGUGCCUUCGGGAACGCAGAGACAGGUGCUGCAUGGCUGUCGUCAGCUCGUGCCG